CAGUCGAGCGAGAAAGUGACUUCGGUCGCGAGUAAAGCGGCGAACGGGUGACUACAACGUGGAUAAUCUACCCUAGGGUCUGGGACAACCCCGAGAAAUCGGGGCUAAUACCGGAUAAGACCACAGUAUCCGAGGAUACAGCGGUAAAAGAUUUAUCGCCCUUGGAUGAGUCCACGCCCCAUCAGGUAGUUGGUAAGGUAAAGGCUUACCAAGCCUAAGACGGGUAGCCGGCCUUAGCGGGUGAACGGCCACAUGGGGACUGAGACACGGCCCUGACUCCUACGGGAGGCAGCAGUGGGGAAUAUUGGGCAAUGGGCGAAAGCCUAACCCAGCGAUGCCGCGUGAGGGAUGAAGGCCUUCGGGUUGUAAACCUCUGUCAGGAGGGACGAUGGGACACUUGUGUCUUGACGGUACCUCCAGAGGAAGCCCCGGCUAACUCCGUGCCAGCAGCCGCGGUAAUACGGAGGGGGCAAGCGUUGCUCGGAAUUACUGGGCGUAAAGGGUCCGCAUGCUGUCAGGCAAGUUAAUUGUUAAAGCUCAA
rnacentral:rRNA from 1 species